rnacentral:rRNA from 1 species
AUUGAACGCUGGCGGCAUGCCUUACACAUGCAAGUCGAACAGUAACAGGUCUUCGGAUGCUGACGAGUGGCGAACGGGUGAGUAAUACAUCGGAACGUGCCUAGUAGUGGGGGAUAACUACUCGAAAGAGUGGCUAAUACCGCAUGAGAUCUACGGAUGAAAGCAGGGGAUCGCAAGACCUUGUGCUACUAGAGCGGCCGAUGGCAGAUUAGGUAGUUGGUGGGAUAAAAGCUUACCAAGCCGACGAUCUGUAGCUGGUCUGAGAGGACGAUCAGACACACUGGGACUGAGACACGGCCCAGCCUCCUACGGGAGGCAGCAGUGGGGAAUUUUGGACAAUGGGCACAAGCCUGAUCCAGCAAUGCCGCGUGCAGGAUGAAGGCCUUCGGGUUGUAAACUGCUUUUGUACGGAACGAAAAGCCCUGGGUUAAUACCCUGGGGUCAUGACGGUACCGUAAGAAUAAGCACCGGCUAACUACGUGCCAGCCGCCGCUGUAAUAC